GUUAUAAAUAGCCUUGACUUGCAACAACUCCCGCUAAACUUUAGGAUCUAAUUCCUUUCUAUUCUAGCCACUAAUCCGUCUUCUCUGGCGGCCAUCAGCUGGUUCCCUUGCUGGCUCCGCUGGCUCUGGACUGGAGAGCAUACAGACGCCUGUCUCCUCGCCAUCCUCGGCCCAGCAACCUCGAUUCCUGCCCAAGGCUUGGUUUGGUCCAACCAAUCUUGUUGUGAUUGUAACCACUGUAGUCGGAGGGCUCUGCCAAAUUUAUCCAGAGGAAGUAAAUGGCUUGAGGCUUACACAAAUUUCACAAUCGGAUGUUGUGAGAAAGAUUAUCAGUGUCCUCCCAAUUGACAAAUAUGGACACAUUGUCACAGUGCUUCAUCAAAUGGAUCUUUCAGUUGCCACUCCUACACAGAUAUUGGAAAGAUCAAUGCUCAUGAGAUGUAUAUGCACAUCAAUGUCAAGGAUGAGUCAUCUUCCAAGAGAAAGGAUUUUGGCUCUUAAAGCAAAUCAAGAAAGAAAAAGACAAGCUAAAGUACAAAUUGAAGAGGAAUACUCAAGUGAUGAUGAUCUUGAUGCUAACAUUGCCUUGAUGGUGAGGAAGACCAUCAAGAUGCUAAAGAAGCUCAACAGAGAAGGCAUCAAAUUUGACUCAAGAAAGAAGAAAUUUUUUUCCAGCAAAAGAAAACCCAUUUCUGAAAUGUAUUGCUACAACUGCGGUGAGCUUGGUUAUCUUGAUCAUCAAUGUAACAAACUCAAGAAAACAAGUUCAAGGGCAAGAAAGAAGAUGACAGUGAUGAUGAGAAAAAGGAAAAGAGAUUUUUAGAGGAAGGAUGGGAAGCACAAGAGGUUCCACAAAAAGAAAAAUGUAAAGGCAUACAUUGUUGAUGACUGACUCACUGACAUUAAGUUAUCAAGUGGAUCUUCUUCAAGUGAAGAAGAAAAUGAUGAAAAAGUUACCGCCAUCGCUGGGGACUAAUCUUUACCACCACCAUCACCAUCAUCGACUUCUCACUUAUGCCUCAUGGCUAGAGGUGAACGAAAGGUGAACUACAAGACCGGUGGGAGCCAUUGGGUUAUUGACAGUGGAUGCACUCAACAUAUGACAUGCAACCCACGGAUAUUCACCUCACUUGAUGAGAAUGUUGAUGGACAAGACAAAAUCACAUUUGAGGACAAUUCAAAAGGAAAAGUUUAAGGACUUGGCAAUGUGGUAAUUUCAAAUGAUUUAUCAAUUUCAAAUGUUCUCUUGGUUGCACUUUUGAGCUUCAACUUAUUAUCAAUGGGUCAACUCUGUGAUCUUGGACUUCAAAGCUUAUUCACUCCAACAGAGGUUAUUGUAUCAAAAAUGGAUGAUGAAUCAAUGAUGUUCAAAGGAUUUAGAUACAACAAUCUCUACAUAGUGGAUUUCACCUCUGAAGAUGUAGACUUAAGAACUUGUCUCUUUACUAAAGCGUCACUUGGAUGGCUAUGGCAUAGAAGGUUUGCACAUGUUGGAAUGAGCACACUCAAGAAAGUAGUAAAGAAGGACAUGGUUAGAUGACUAAAAGAUGUGUUAUUUGAAAAGGACAAGCCGUGUAGCGCAUGUCAAUCUAGAAAGUAUGUUGCUAACACACAUCCUACAAAAGCUUUCAUGUCAACAUCAAGGCCACUGUAACUACUUCAUAUGGAUUUAUUUGGACCAACAACUUAUGCAAGUGCUGGUGGCAACCUCUACUGUCUGGUGAUAGUUGAUGAUUUCUCAAGAUACACUUGGGUGUUCUUUCUCCAUGAUAAAUUUGAAGUUGCAUUUAUAUUCAAAAAGUUUGCCAAGAAAGCUUAAAAUGAAUUUGGUUGCAAGAUCAAAAAGAUUAGAAGUGAUAAUGGUAAAGAAUUUGACAACACCAACAUACAUGAAUACUAUCAUGAGAUUAGGAUCAAGCAUGAAGUAUCAGCAACAUAUACACCUCAACAAAAUGGACUUGUUGAAAGGAAAAACAGGACCUUGAUCACACUUGCAAGAAUAAUGAUUGAUGAGUAUAACACAUCGGAUAGGUUUUGGGUUGAAGCUGUCAACACUGCAUGUUAUGCAUCAAACAGGCUAUUUCCUCACCGGCUACUUGCAAAGACUCCCUAUGAACUGCUAAAUGGGAAAAAGCCAGACGUCUCCUUCUUUCGGGUGUUUGGAUGCAAAUGCUACAUCUACAAGAAACACCAUCACUUAAGGAAGUUUCAGAGACGUUGUGAUAUUGGUUUUCUACUGGGUUAUUCAUCAAAGUCGAAAGCAUAUCGAGUAUUCAAUCAUGCCACUUGCGUGGUAGAAGAAACAUAUGAUGUGGAGUUUUAUUAGACUAAUGGCUCCCAAGGAGCACUUGAAAAUCUUGAUGAUGUAGGUGAUGAUCCAUUUAGGGAAGCCAUGAAGAAUAUGCCAAUUGAAGCCAUCAAACCAAAAGAAGAUGAAGAAGAGGUGCAAAACAUUGACAUACCUUUUUCAUCAAGUGUACCAUAAGAUGAUGAAAAAUAUGAGAGGUAUGCAAAUAAAGAUACAUUUGUCUCUCAUAAACAAGCAAGGGUACAAGCCGAAGAUGUUGAUGCUCCAGGAUCUUCUUUCCAAGUGGUUGACAGAAGAAACUCAUCACUACUUCAAGCACACCCACAAGACCAAAUCAUUAGGAGUCCUUCACAAGUGGUUAUUACUCGAUCACAUAAACAUGCUUAUUUUAUUGAACAUCACUCCUUUGUUUCUUGUGUUGAGCCUACAUGUAUAGCUGAGGUGCUACAGGAUCCGGACUGAGUGAACGCCAUGCAUGAAGGACUAAACAACUUCACCCGUAACCAAGUUUGGACCCUGGAGAAGCCCCACAAGAUGCAAGGGUCAUUGGAACAAAGUGGGUGUUUAGAAACAAAUAAGAUGAUCAAGGCGUGAUUGUGAGGAACAAGGCAAUACUUGUUGCAAAGGGCUUCUCGCAAGUUGAAGGCUUAGAUUUUGGAGAGACCUUUGCACCGGUUGCUCGACUUGAAGUCAUCUGUAUCCUAUUCACAUAUGCAUCAUGCUAUGAUAUAAAGAUUUAUCAAAUGGAUGUAAAAAGUGCAUUUUUAAAUGGCUUCAUAAAUGAACUUGUAUAUGUUGAGCAACCACCCAAGUUUGAAGACCCUCGAUAUCCUAACCAUACUUACAGGUUGUCCAAGGCGCAAUAUGGGUUAAAGAAAGCUCCAAGGGCUUGGUAUGAACAUCUUCGCGACUUCGU